rnacentral:rRNA from 1 species
GGUUCAUUCAAAUUUCUUCCCUAUCAACUUUCGAUGCGAGGGUAUUGUCCUCGCAUGGUUACAACGGGUAACGGAGGGUUAGGGCUCGACCCCGGAGAAGGAGCCUGAGAAACGGCUACUACAUCCAAGGGAGGCAGCAGGCGCGCAAAUUACCCAAUCCCGACCGGGGAGGUAGUGACAAUAAAUACUGAUACAGGGCUCUUUUGGGUCUUGUAAUCGGAAUGAGUACAAUUUAAAUCUCUUAACGAGGAACAAUUGGAGGGCAAGUCUGGUGCCAGCAGCCGCGGUAAUUCCAGCUCCAAUAGCGUAUAUUAAAGUUGUUGUGGUUAAAAAGCUCGUAGUUG